AGAGUUUGAUCCUGGCUCAGAACGAACGCUGGCGGCGCGUCUUAAGCAUGCAAGUCGAACGGCAAGAAAGGAGCUUGCUCCUUUCCUAGAGUGGCGGACUGGUGAGUAACACGUGGGUGACCUACCCUUGAGAUGGGGAUAGCCGUUAGAAAUAGCGGAUAAUACCGAAUACGCUCUACGAACUGUGGUUUGUAGAGGAAACAGGCUACGGCCUGGCUCGAGGAUGGGCCCGCGUCCCAUUAGCUAGUUGGUGAGGUAAGAGCCCACCAAGGCGACGAUGGGUAUCCGGCCUGAGAGGGUGUACGGACACAUUGGGACUGAGAUACGGCCCAAACUCCUACGGGAGGCAGCAGCUAAGAAUAUUCCGCAAUGGACGAAAGUCUGACGGAGCGACGCCGCGUGGAUGACGAAGGCCGAAAGGUUGUAAAAUCCUUUUGCUGAUGAAGAAUAAGCGUGGUAGGGAAUGACCGCGUGAUGACAUUAGUCGGUGAAUAAGCCCCGGCUAACUACGUGCCAGCAGCCGCGGUAACACGUAGGGGGCAAGCGUUGUUCGGAAUUAUUGGGCGUAAAGGGCAUGUAGGCGGUUUGGUAAGCCUGAUGUGAAAUCCUGCAGCUUAACUGUAGAAUUGCAUUGGGUACUGCCGAACUUGAAUCACUGAGGGGAAACUAGAAUUCCAGGUGUAGGGGUGGAAUCUGUAGAUAUCUGGAAGAAUACCGGUGGCGAAGGCGGGUUUCUAGCAGAUGAUUGACGCUGAGGUGCGAAAGUGCGGGGAGCAAACAGGAUUAGAUACCCUGGUAGUCCACGCCGUAAACGAUGGAUACUAGGUAUCGGGCUGGAUGGCUGUCGGUGCCGAAGUUAACGCAUUAAGUAUCCCCCCUGGGGAGUACGACCCGCAAGGUUAAAACUCAAAGGAAUUGACGGGGGCCCGCACAAGCAGUGGAGUAUGUGGUUUAAUUCGAGGCAACGCGAAGAACCUUACCAGGGUUUGACAUCCCGCGCCAUAGGUAGAGAUACUUAGUUCCCUUCGGGGACGCGGAGGCAGGUGGUGCAUGGUUGUCGUCAGCUCGUGUCGUGAGAUGUUCGGUUAAGUCCGGCGACGAGCGCAACCCUCGUGGCCAGUUGCCAUCAUUUAGUUGGGCACUUUGGCCAGACUGCCGUUGACAAAACGGAGGAAGGUGGGGAUGACGUCAAAUCAUCAUGCCCCUUAUAUCCUGGGCUACACACGUACUACAAUGGGCGUUACAACGGGCAGCCACACCGCGAGGUGGAGCGAAUCCCCAAAGGCGUCCUCAGUUCGGAUUGCAGGCUGCAACUCGCCUGCAUGAAGCCGGAAUUGCUAGUAAUGGCAGGUCAGCAUACUGCCGUGAAUACGUUCCCGGGCCUUGCACACACCGCCCGUCAA
rnacentral:rRNA from 1 species